CACCAGCAGCUCUAGUGGUGAUCACGAUUACUGGGUUUAAAGCGUGCGUAGUCGGUUUGGCAAGUUUUCUGUGAAAUCCUGCGGCUUAACCGUGGGGAUUGCAGAAAAUACUACCAGGCUUGAGGCCGGGUGAGGCGUAGGGUAUUCUAGGGGUAGCGGUGAAAUGCUAUAAUCCUUGGAAGACCACCAGUAGCGAAGGCGCUACGCCAGAACGGGCCUGACGAUGAGGUACGAGAGCUAGGGGA
rnacentral:rRNA from 1 species